rnacentral:pre_miRNA from 1 species
AAAAAGACAAACCCUAGGUUUUCGUGUCCAAUUUUAACUGUCAGUCUUAUAUGAAAUUUGUUUAUAAUUCGUAUUUUCAUUGUUGUUAGAUGAUAAAACAUGACUAAUAUUUUAUGCGUGACUUAUCUUUUUAAUUUUUUUAAUAAUUUUUUCAAAUAAGACGAACGGUUAAAUAUUGGACACGGAAACC